rnacentral:rRNA from 1 species
GAUGAACGCUGACAGAAUGCUUAACACAUGCAAGUCGACUUGAAGCAACUUCGGUUGUGGAAAGUGGCGGACGGGUGAGUAACGCGUAAAGAACUUACCCUUCAGUCUGGGACAACCAUUGGAAACGAUGGCUAAUACCGGAUAUUAUGGAACUCUCGCAUGGGAGGAUCAUGAAAGCUAUAUGCGCUGAAGGAGAGCUUUGCGUUCCAUUAGCUAGUUGGUGAGGUAACGGCUCACCAAGGCGACGAUGGAUAGCCGGCCUGAGAGGGUGAUCGGCCACAAGGGGACUGAGACACGGCCCUUACUCCUACGGGAGGCAGCAGUGGGGAAUAUUGGACAAUGGACCAAAAGUCUGAUCCAGCAAUUCUGUGUGCACGAUGAAGGUUUUCGGAUCGUAAAGUGCUUUCAGUUGGGAAGAAGAAAGUGACGGUACCAACAGAAGAAGCGACGGCUAAAUACGUGCCAGCAGCCGCGGUAAUACGUAUGUCGCAAGCGUUAUCCGGAUUUAUUGGGCGUAAAGCGCGUCUAGGCGGGUUCAUAAGUCUGAUGUUAAAAUGCGGGGCUCAACUCCGUAUUGCGUUGGAAGCUGUGAACCUAGAGUAUCAGAGAGGUGGGCGGAACUACAAGUGUAGAGGUGAAAUUCGUAGAUAUUUGUAGGAAUGCCGAUGGAGAAGUCAGCUCACUGGAUGAAUACUGACGCUAAAGCGCGAAAGCGUGGGUAGCAAACAGG